rnacentral:rRNA from 1 species
UGGGGAAUAUUGCACAAUGGGGGAAACCCUGAUGCAGCGACGCCGCGUGAGCGAUGAAGUAUUUCGGUAUGUAAAGCUCUAUCAGCAGGGAAGAAAAUGACGGUACCUGACUAAGAAGCCCCGGCUAACUACGUGCCAGCAGCCGCGGUAAUACGUAGGGGGCAAGCGUUAUCCGGAUUUACUGGGUGUAAAGGGAGCGUAGACGGCUGUGCAAGCCAGAUGUGAAAGCCCGGGGCUCAACCCCGGGACUGCAUUUGGAACUGUGUGGCUGGAGUGUCGGAGAGGCAGGCGGAAUUCCUAGUG